GCUGUCUCCUAAACUGGGGUCUCUGGAUUCCAUGAUGGUUGGGUUGAUUUGGUAGAAAUUAAAUGCCUAAACCUACUUCUCCAUUUAAAUCUCUGGGUACUUGUCUUAUAUUUCCAGGCAGGCAGCUGAAAUUUGCCCGUGGUUCUCUUUUGCAUCUUUUGGCCAGAAUCACAGACUAAGUCAGAAGCUGAAGGCGCUCCACUCAGGAGGGGGAGAGAAGGGCAGACUCCCCACUUUCUGGAGAAUGCAGAGGCGGCAUUGACAGAGACCCGGGAGGUGCAGUGCUGAAUGGCUGGAGGCAGGCUCUGUCCUAGAGCUCCAGCUUCCUUCCUCCCAGAGCUUGGCCAGAGGUUGUGCACACUUGUUCCUGAGUGCAGUCAGGAUCCCAGUGGUCACCAGGGUGCCUUGUGAGAAGACAAGAAGACUGAGACACAAAAGAUAACAGUGAUUUGCCCAAGGCUGUGUCACCCAGACACCUAACGCCGAGCUCCUGUUCACAAACUUCUCUGCAUUGGGAAUGGUUUCCAAGGCCAGCCUAGUUCUUGUCAGUUCCUGAACUAGGCUGGAGAAAAAAGAAAAGAGACCUGCCAGUAACUACAUCAGGGAGCAUGAAA